GAUGAACGCUGGCGGCGUGCCUAAUACAUGCCAGUCGAGCGAACAGACGAGGAGCUUGCUCCUCUUACGUUAGCGGCGGACGGGUGAGUAACACGUGGAUAACCUACCUAUAAGACUGGGAUAACUUCGGGAAACCGGAGCUAAUACCGGAUAAUAUAUUGAACCGCAUGGUUCAAUAGUGAAAGACGGUUUUGCUGUCACUUAUAGAUGGAUCCGCGCCGCAUUAGCUAGUUGGUAAGGUAACGGCUUACCAAGGCAACGAUGCGUAGCCGACCUGAGAGGGUGAUCGGCCACACUGGAACUGAGACACGGUCCAGACUCCUACGGGAGGCAGCAGUAGGGAAUCUUCCGCAAUGGGCGAAAGCCUGACGGAGCAACGCCGCGUGAGUGAUGAAGGUCUUCGGAUCGUAAAACUCUGUUAUUAGGGAAGAACAAAUGUGUAAGUAACUAUGCACGUUUUGACGGUACCUAAACAGAAAGCCACGGCUAACUACGUG
rnacentral:rRNA from 1 species